GUGCCAGCCGCCGCGGUAAUACGUAGGUGGCAAGCGUUAUCCGGAAUUAUUGGGCGUAAAGCGCGCGUAGGCGGUUUUUUAAGUCUGAUGUGAAAGCCCACGGCUCAACCGUGGAGGGUCAUUGGAAACUGGAAAACUUGAGUGCAGAAGAGGAAAGUGGAAUUCCAUGUGUAGCGGUGAAAUGCGCAGAGAUAUGGAGGAACACCAGUGGCGAAGGCGACUUUCUGGUCUGUAACUGACGCUGAUGUGCGAAAGCGUGGGGAUCAAACAG
rnacentral:rRNA from 1 species